UGCCAGCCGCCGCGGUAAGACGGAGGGUGCAAACGUUGUUCGGAAUCACUGGGCAUAAAGAGCACGUAGGCGGUCCGCUAAGUCAGAUGUGAAAGCCCCCGGCUCAACCGGGGAAUUGCAUAUGAUACUGGCGGACUAGAGGACGGUAGGGGUGAGUGGAACUCCAGGUGGAGCGGUGAAAUGCGUAGAUAUCUGGAGGAACACCAGUGGCGAAAGCGGCUCACUGGACCGUCUCUGACGCUGAGGUGCGAAAGCUAGGGUAGCGAACGGGAUUAGAUA
rnacentral:rRNA from 1 species